GUGAUUAUUUCAUAUAUGACGAAAAAUAUGUACAUCUUUGAAUACUGUAGUAGAAAUACAUGUACAAUUUUGGUUAUUUGGUAAUCCUGACAAUAAACCUAAUUUUUGAUUUGAUUUGGAAUUUUGAUGCAAUCCUGAGUUAAUUGGUAAUCCUGACACUAAACUUGAUUUAUUAUAUAAUAACAGAAUUUUGAUGCAAUCCUAAGAUAAUUGGUAAUCCAGACAAUAAACCUGAUUUAUGAUAUAAUGACUACGGAAUUUUGAUGUAAUCCUGACAAACCUGAUUUAUGAUAUAAUGACGGAAUUUUUAUACAAUCGUGAGUAAGAUGGUAAUCCUGACCACAACCCUGAUAUAUGAUAUAAAACAUAAUGUAUGCGAAAAAACCUCAAGUUAUACGAUAGUUCGUAUCGGUCGAAUUUAUUUGUGAAAAACGCGAAUAAAUUUCUGACUAUUUGCCAUAACAAUAUUUGGAUGCACGCAUAUACUCGGCUCAGGAAAUAUUUUAAAUUUGAACAUGACAAAAAAAAAGUAUACAUAUAGUAUACACUUACAGCUACCUUUUCGAUAAAAAUUUAAAAUGUACUAUACCUUGGAGAAAAUUGCGCGAAACACCAUAAUUUUUUCGAAAAUUUUUGCAAAUAACAAGUAACUUUGGCGCUGAAAGGGUUAUUACAGCCGAUGAGGAAAUUGCGUUACGUCUCUGCAAUGUGCUGCUGCCAAUGAACGAAUUAGAAAGGAUAACACGCAUAUAUUCAUGGGCAUAUGAGCAACGUAGCAUGCUAUGACAUGGCGAUCACGAUAUGGAUACUGGAGCCAGCAGAGUUUGAUCAUGACAGAAAGGUGCACCGAGCCCCAAUUUUUCAUUUGUUUAUUGCUGAAUGCAAGCUAUAUGUUCGAAUUUCGAAGAUUUGACCAACUUCCCAACUCGGCGCUUGCGCAUAUCGCAUGUGAACAUCACACACACAUACACACACAUCGAGGAGACGUUUAUCAAAAACUAUGCGCCCACAAAAUGCGUAAUCACUACUUCAAGCCUACUUUUAGGCGAUAUAAAUUUCUUGUCAUAGUUCUCUGCGCUCCAUAUAUCGGCUUCGCGUCUCGGUUUGAAAGCUUCUUGUUGCAUUGAUUGAAGGAAAGAUCACAUGUUGAGAACGAACAACGGCUCGUCAAAAUUGCGGCAAUUAAGAACUACAAAAAUAAACAGAAGACGAACUUUUACAACUAAAA